UACGGGGGGGGCAAGCGUUGUUCGGAAUUACUGGGCGUAAAGGGCUCGUAGGUGGCCAACUAAGUCAGACGUGAAAUCCCCAGGCUCAACUUGGGAACUGCGUCUGAUACUGGAUGGCUUGAAUUCGGGAGAGGGAUGCAGAAUUCCAGGUGUAGCGGUGAAAUGCGUAGAUAUACGGAGGAACACCAGCGGCGAAGGCGGGUAGCUGGGCCAACACUGACGCUGAUGCGCGAAAGCCAGGGUAGCAAACGGG
rnacentral:rRNA from 1 species